ACCCGGAGUGGCCGGCAGUCCCCGGCAGGCGUGCGCCGGGCAGCAGACAGCCGGGAGAGCUCGAGCGCCAGGAAGCUGGGGACCCGUGACCGUCACGGAGAGAUAGAGAACCCCCAGCGGACCUGAGGAACCUGGGCUCUGCUUCCUCCGGCUGCUGCCUGGACUGCUCAGUGAGGUGGGGGGAUCCCCGGCCACCGGUGCUGUGGCUGUAGCUGACCUCUUUGGACCGGGAUGUGGGUAUCCUGGGCUCCUGGCCUGUGGCUGCUCGGUCUUUGGGCUACCUUCGGCCAUGGGGCAAAUACAGGUGCACAAUGCCCACCUUCACAGCAGGAAGGACUCAAAUUGGAACACAGUAGUAGCCUGCCAGCCAACGUGACUGGCUUCAACCUCAUCCACCGACUCAGCCUCAUGAAGAUGUCUGCCAUCAAGAAGAUCCGCAACCCCAAGGGGCCUCUCAUCCUGCGCCUGGGGGCGGCCCCCGUGACCCAGCCCACGCGACGAGUAUUCCCUCGGGGUCUCCCGGAGGAGUUUGCCCUGGUGCUGACACUACUGCUGAAGAAACACACCCACCAGAAGACGUGGUAUCUGUUUCAAGUGACCGAUGCAAAUGGGUAUCCACAGAUAUCCCUGGAAGUCAACAGCCAAGAGCGGAGCCUGGAGCUCAGGGCCCAGGGCCAGGAUGGCGACUUUGUGUCCUGCAUCUUCCCAGUGCCCCAGCUCUUCGACUUGCGUUGGCACAAGCUGAUGCUGAGUGUGGCUGGACGUGUGGCCUCUGUGCACGUGGACUGCAGCUCAGCCUCCUCCCAGCCUCUGGGGCCCCGACGACCCAUGAGGCCUGUGGGCCAUGUAUUUCUAGGCUUGGAUGCUGAGCAGGGCAAGCCUGUCUCGUUUGACCUUCAGCAGGUGCACAUCUACUGUGACCCGGAGCUCGUGCUGGAGGAGGGCUGCUGUGAGAUUUUACCAGCAGGGUGCCCCCCAGAGACCUCCAAGGCCCGCCGGGACACCCAGAGCAAUGAGCUCAUUGAGAUCAAUCCACAGUCUGAAGGCAAGGUCUACACCCGCUGCUUCUGCCUGGAGGAGCCUCAAAACAGCCAGGUGGAUGCCCAGCUGACGGGAAGAAUCAGCCAGAAGGCAGAAAGGGGAGCAAAGGUCCAUCAGGAGACAGCAGCCGAUGAGUGUCCGCCCUGUGUCCAUGGUGCCUGGGACAGCAAUGUCACACUUGCUCCCUCUGGCCCCAAGGGAGGGAAAGGUGAGCGGGGCCUGCCUGGUCCACCAGGCUCCAAGGGAGAGAAGGGAGCACGGGGCAAUGACUGUGUUCGAAUCUCCCCGGAUGCCCCGCUUCAGUGUGCAGAAGGCCCGAAGGGAGAGAAGGGGGAGUCAGGAGCUCUGGGACCCUCAGGACUCCCAGGCUCAACAGGCGAGAAGGGCCAGAAAGGCGAGAAGGGCGACGGAGGCAUCAAGGGCGUGCCGGGAAAGCCAGGCCGGGACGGCCGGCCAGGAGAGAUCUGUGUCAUUGGGCCCAAAGGGCAGAAGGGAGACCCUGGCUUUGUUGGGCCUGAGGGGCUGGCAGGAGAGCCUGGGCCCCCCGGCCUCCCUGGACCCCCUGGGAUGGGACUGCCUGGGACCCCGGGGGAUCCAGGUGGCCCACCAGGCCCCAAGGGAGACAAGGGCAGCUCGGGGAUCCCAGGAAAGGAAGGCCCUGGUGGGAAACCUGGGAAGCCAGGUGUGAAGGGAGAGAAGGGUGACCCCUGUGAAGUGUGCCCAACACUGCCUGAAGGGUUCCAGAACUUUGUUGGACUUCCUGGAAAGCCAGGGCCCAAAGGGGAGCCUGGUGAUCCUGUACCAGCCAGGGGAGACCCUGGCAUCCAAGGCAUCAAAGGAGAGAAGGGGGAGCCCUGCUUGUCCUGCAGCUCGGUUGUAGGGGCCCAGCAUCUUGUGUCCUCCACAGGGGCCAGUGGAGAUGUGGGUUCCCCUGGCUUUGGUCUGCCUGGCCUUCCGGGUAGAGCUGGGGUUCCAGGGCUGAAAGGAGAGAAGGGUAACUUCGGGGAGGCAGGGCCAGCUGGCAGUCCAGGGACACCAGGACCAGUGGGGCCAGCAGGCAUCAAAGGGGCGAAGGGGGAGCCCUGUGAGCCGUGCCCAGCCCUGUCCAACCUUCAGGAUGGGGAUGUCCGUGUGGUGGCCUUGCCUGGCCCAUCCGGAGAGAAGGGGGAACCUGGGCCUCCAGGCUUUGGCUUGCCAGGAAAACAGGGCAAGGCUGGAGAGCGUGGACUGAAGGGGCAGAAGGGUGAUGCUGGGAAUCCUGGAGACCCUGGAACGCCGGGCACCACAGGGCGGCCAGGACUGUCAGGAGAGCCUGGAGUUCGGGGCCCCGCGGGGCCAAAAGGAGAAAAGGGUGAUGGCUGCACUGCCUGCCCCAGCCUGCAGGGGACAGUGACCGACAUGGCAGGACGGCCUGGGCAGCCCGGCCCCAAAGGAGAGCAGGGCCCCGAAGGCGUGGGCCGACCUGGUAAACCCGGCCAACCCGGUCUACCAGGAGUUCAAGGGCCCCCAGGACUGAAGGGCGUGCAGGGAGAGCCAGGGCCUCCAGGAAGGGGAGUCCAGGGACCCCAGGGGGAGCCUGGAGCCCCGGGUUUGCCUGGCAUUCAGGGACUUCCGGGACCUCGGGGACCACCUGGCCCCACUGGAGAGAAGGGUGCCCAGGGAUCUCCAGGGGUGAAAGGAGCCACCGGACCCGUGGGACCUCCUGGGGCCAGUGUCUCUGGGCCUCCGGGCCGUGAUGGGCAGCAAGGACAGACGGGACUCAGAGGGACACCAGGUGAAAAAGGACCACGAGGAGAGAAGGGUGAGCCAGGGGAGUGCUCCUGCCCCUCUCGAGGAGACCUCAUCUUCUCUGGCAUGCCGGGUCCACCAGGUAUUCCCGGACCACCAGGCCCCCCUGGAGUACCUGGGCUGCAGGGAGUGCCUGGAAACAACGGUUUGCCAGGACAGCCUGGGCUCACUGCGGAACUGGGAUCCUUACCAAUUGAACAGCACCUCCUUAAGAGUAUCUGCGGGGACUGUGUCCAGGGGCAGAGGGCCCACCCAGGGUACCUCGUGGAGAAGGGAGAGAAGGGAGACCAGGGCAUCCCUGGUGUGCCAGGCCUCGACAACUGCGCCCAGUGCUUUUUGUCACUGGAGCGCCCAAGAGCCGAGGAGGCCCGGGGUGACAACAGUGAGGGAGAUCCCGGCUGUGUUGGGAGCCCAGGCCUACCUGGUCCUCCGGGAUUGCCAGGCCAGAGAGGAGAAGAGGGUCCGCCUGGCAUGAGGGGCUCCCCGGGUCCUCCAGGCCCUAUCGGCCCCCCAGGUUUUCCUGGUGCUGUUGGCUCCCCCGGAUUGCCUGGCCUUCAAGGAGAGCGAGGUCUCACGGGCCUGACUGGAGAUAAGGGGGAGCCGGGUCCUCCAGGGCAACCAGGUUACCCAGGUGCCACGGGCCCCCCAGGACUGCCUGGCAUCAAGGGGGAGCGUGGCUACACCGGGUCAGCGGGAGAGAAAGGAGAGCCGGGCCCCCCAGGAUCUGAAGGCCUCCCAGGCCCCCCAGGCCCAGUGGGUCCCAGAGGAGAGCGAGGACCCCAAGGUAACUCCGGUGAGAAGGGCGACCAGGGAUUUCAAGGCCAGCCAGGCUUUCCGGGCCCACCGGGUCCCCCUGGAUUCCCAGGCAAAGUUGGAUCACCUGGCCCACCUGGCCCUCAAGCAGAGAAGGGCAGCGAAGGGAUUCGAGGCCCAUCAGGCCUGCCUGGCUCCCCUGGGCCACCGGGACCUCCUGGGAUUCAGGGCCCCGCCGGUCUGGAUGGUUUGGAUGGGAAGGACGGCAAGCCUGGUUUGAGGGGGGAUCCUGGUCCUGCUGGCCCCCCUGGACUCAUGGGACCACCGGGCUUUAAGGGGAAAACAGGACAUCCUGGCCUCCCAGGACCUAAGGGUGACUGUGGCAAACCAGGUCCCCCUGGCAGCACUGGCCGGCCUGGCGCAGAGGGUGAACCUGGUGCCACGGGACCCCAGGGAAGACCCGGUCCCCCGGGACACGUUGGGCCACCAGGGCCUCCAGGCCAGCCAGGACCAGCUGGGAUCUCUGCAGUGGGUCUGAAAGGAGACCGAGGAGCCACCGGAGAAAGGGGCCUUGCAGGCCUCCCAGGCCAGCCCGGCCCCCCUGGACACCCUGGCCCCCCAGGCGAACCUGGUACGGAUGGUGCAGCUGGCAAAGAGGGACCCCCUGGAAAGCAGGGAUUCUAUGGACCUCCUGGUCCCAAGGUGAGUGGGCACUGGCUGGGCUUGAGAGGAGAAGCUCACGAGUGGAUGAAGCCCAGCUGCAAGUUACGGCUUUAGCCACAGAGAGGAGACACAGGAAGGCCAGUGGGCAGGGGGAAAAAAUGCAGAACUUGGAGCAGGAUAGUGUCUGAAAAUUUCUCACAUGGGGUCAUUAGCUGUGGUUGGGGGGAAGGAAAUCUCCAGUUCAUUUACUCACUGAUUGACUGAUUGAUUCAUUCAUUGUUUCCAUUUCCCGAGCACUCCCUUGCUCCUGCUCACAUUCCAGGCCCUUGUCCUGGCCUCAGGGUGAUCCAGGAGCUGCAGGACAGAAGGGCCAGGCAGGAGAGAAGGGGAGAGCCGGCAUGCCUGGUGGACCUGGCAAGAGUGGUUCCAUGGGGCCUGUUGGGCCACCGGGCCCUGCAGGAGAGAGAGGCCACCCUGGAGCUCCGGGGCCUUCGGGGAGCCCUGGCUUGCCUGGUGUGCCUGGCUCCAUGGGAGACAUGGUGAAUUAUGAUGAAAUCAAGAGGUUCAUCAGACAAGAGAUCAUUAAAAUGUUUGAUGAGAGAAUGGCUUACUACACCUCCAGGAUGCAGUUCCCCAUGGAGAUGGCGGCAGCUCCGGGACGACCAGGGCCUCCAGGGAAGGAUGGUGCUCCGGGCAGGCCAGGUGCUCCAGGGUCACCUGGGCUCCCUGGUCAGAUUGGCAGAGAAGGACGGCAGGGCUUGCCAGGAGUAAGAGGACUGCCUGGUACCAAAGGUGAAAAAGGGGACAUUGGUAUUGGCAUUGCAGGAGAAAAUGGUCUUCCCGGCCCCCCAGGUCCUCAAGGUCCUCCAGGCUAUGGCAAGAUGGGUGCAACAGGACCAAUGGGCCAGCAAGGCAUCCCUGGCAUCCCUGGGCCCCCGGGUCCCAUGGGCCAGCCAGGCAAGGCUGGCCACUGUAAUCCCUCUGACUGCUUUGGGGCCAUGCCGAUGGAGCAGCAGUACCCACCCAUGAAAACCAUGAAGGGGCCUUUUGGCUGAAAUUCCCCACCUGCCUUUGGAUGAAGGACUCCGUUGGGAAUAAAUGGCCAAAGCUUAUAGGACUCUGUGACAGGUUGUGAAUGUUUUUGUUGUUGUUGUUGUUUUUAAUUGCUGUUAAUAUUUUUUAAAUAAUAAAGAAACAAAACUA